rnacentral:rRNA from 1 species
AGAAUCAACGCUGGCGGCGUGCCUAACACAUGCAAGUCGAACGAGAAAGUGGAGCAAUCCACGAGUAAAGUGGCGACCGGGUGAGUAACACGUGACUAACCUACCUUUCAGUGGGGAAUAACCUCGGGAAACCGGGGCUAAUACCGCAUAAUGUCUUCGGACCAAAGGAGCAAUUCGCUGAAAGAGGGGGUCGCGGCCGAUUAGCUAGUUGGCGGGGUAACGGCCCACCAAGGCAAUGAUCGGUAGCCGGCCUGAGAGGGCGCACGGCCACACUGGAACUGAAACACGGUCCAGACUCCUACGGGAGGCAGCAGUGGGGAAUUUUGCGCAAUGGGGAAACCCUGACGCAGCAACGCCGCGUGGAGGAUGAAGCCCCUUGGGGUGUAAACUCCUUUCGAUCGGGACGAUUAUGACGGUACCGGAUGAAGAGCACCGGCUAACUCUGCGCCAGCAGCCGC